rnacentral:rRNA from 1 species
CCUACGGGUGGCAGCAGUGGGGAAUAUUGCGCAAUGGGCGAAAGCCUGACGCAGCGACGCCGCGUGAGGGAUGAAGGUCUUCGGAUCGUAAACCUCUGUCAGCAGGGAAGAACGGUCACUGUGCUAAUCAGCAGUGAAUUGACGGUACCUGCAAAGGAAGCACCGGCUAACUCCGUGCCAGCAGCCGGGGUAAUACGGAGGGUGCGAGCGUUAAUCGGAAUUACUGGGCGUAAAGCGCUCGUAGGCGGUAUGUCAAGUCAAGGGUGAAAGCCCCGCGCUCAACGUGGGAACUGCCUUUGAAACUGGCGAACUGGAGUGUGAGAGAGGAUAGUGGAAUUCCAGGUGUAGGAGUGAAAUCCGUAGAUAUCUGGCGGAACAUCAGUGGCGAAGGCGACUAUCUGGCACAUAACUGACGCUGAGGAGCGAAAGCGUGGGUAGCAAACAGGAUUAGAUACCCGUGUAGUC